CACACACACAUCAGCCCUGUGUGAACAUCACUGAGCUGCAGCUUGAGCAGGCGGGGCUGUACACUGCAUGCUGUAAUUAUAAAACUCUGGUUGCUCUCCCUCUGCUGAUUUCCAGCAAGAACAGUCACUUUGGUGUGUCAGCCUGUGAGAAAGUGAGGAGAAUCUUUUGGGCAUCAUGGACGAUGACUUUGACCGCCGCAUGGAGCUGAGGAGGCAGAGGAGAGAGCAGAUGCGCCUCGAGGCUGACAAUGUGGGUUACACCAACGAUGACGAUGAGGAGGAAGCUCGGGAGAGGAGGAGACGUGCAAGGGAGGAGAGGAAAAAGACGAAGGACUUAGAGGAGUCUGGAACCACUGAUGUGAUCGACACUAACAGUGUGACGGAGACAGAAUCCUCCACCACAACCAGUGUUGGAGGUGCAGAUGAUGACCAGGUUUUGCUGGAACGCCUGGCCAAGAGGGAGGAGCGCAGGCAGAAGAGAAUGAAGGAGGCCAUGGAGAGACAGAAGGAGUUUGAUCCCACCAUGAGCACCACCAACGGCACAGACAGCACACUGGAAGAGGAGUCCUCCAUCAGCAGCAGCAGACAGCGACACACAGAGGAAGCGGAGGAGGAGAAGCAGGUGAAACCACCUCAAGAGGAGGUGGCAGACACUGAUACGAAUUCCUGGAGGAAAGAGGAAGAAGACAAGAAGGAAGAUGAGAAGGAGGAGAUUGAGGAGAUGGCUGCAGCAACAGAAGUAGAGGUUGAGCAGGCCGAUUUAGGAAAGAAAGAUGCUGAAGAGGAAGCUGUUCCUGAUGUUGACAGGGAGGAAGAAGAGAGGAAGAGGAAAGAAGACGAGGAAAGACAGCAAAAAGAAAUGGAAGAAAAGCUGAGGAUAGAAGAGGAAGAAAGGCAAAAAAGGGAAAUGGAGGAAAAGCUCAAGAAAGAGGAAGAAGAAAGGCAGCUAAAGGAGGAGGAGGAGGAAAGGAAGAAGAAGGCAGAGGAGGAAAAACAACAAAAGGAAAUGGAGGCGAGGCUGAGAAAAGAGGAAGAAGAAAAACAGAAAAGGGAGAUGGAAGAGAGACAGAAGAUAGAGGAGGAGGCAAAACGAAAAAAGGAGAUGGAGGAAAAGAAGAAGAAAGAAGAGGAGGAAAAACGCCAGAAAGAAAUGGAAGAGAAGAAGAAAAAGGAGGAAGAAAAGCAGAAGAAAGAGAUGGAAGAGAAGAAGAAGAAAGAAGAGGAGAGACGGAAAAAGGAGAUGGAAGAAAAGAAGAAAGAAGAGGAGGCAAAGCAGAAAAAGGAGGCUGAAGAGAAGAAGAAGAAAGAAGAGGAGGAAAAGCGGAAAAAGGAGGCUGAAGAGAAGAAGAAAAAAGAGGAAGAGGACAAGUGCCAAAAGAGAGAGGUGGAAGACAAGAAGAAGAAAGAGGAGGAGGAGAAGCCGAAGAGAUUUGGUUUCAAGGAAAAGAAUGAACCAUCCAAACAGAACGGAGCUCUCAUUGAGAAUAGAUUUAAGAAAACAGAGAAGACAUCGAGGGACAAUGUUCCCUCCACCAGGGCAGAUGACGUGGAGCGGAAGGAGGCCGAGCGUAAGCUGCAGGAGCUGAAGCGCAGACGAAACAAUGCAGAAAGCGAGGAGUUUGAGAAGAUGAAGCAGAAGCAGCAGGACGCAGAGGCCGAGCUGGAGGAGCUGAAGAGGAAGAGAGAGGAGAGGAGGAAGAUCAUGGAGGAGGAGGAGAGGCAGAAAAAACAGGAGCUGGAGGACAAGAAAGCCAAAGAACAGGAGGAGAGGAAGAGGAUGAGGGAGGAGAUAGAGAAAAGGAGGGCGGAGGCAGCAGAAAAGAAGAAACAGAAGGAGGAAGAUUCUACAAAACCUGCCUUUACUAUCAGUCCCAAAGGCUCCUCAAAGAUCGGGGAGAAGGCAGGAUUCUUGAGCAAAUCAGCCCAGAAAAGCACCGCCGCUAGAGUGUCUCACACUCCAAUUGUCUCCAAGAUCGGCAACAGACUGGACCAGUACACUUCUGCCAUCCAGGGAAACAAGGACGUCAAAUCCCCCAAGUCUCCACUGGCAGAUAUUCCUACAGGAGGCACACGCAGCAUCAAGAGCAUGUGGGAGAAAGGCAACGUUGGCAGCUCCUCUGACAGUCCAGCCCCUGCCAACAAGGACGUGGCUGGUAUCAAAGGAGGCGUGGCUGGACGUGUCAACAGUUGGAUGGCAAAGCCUGCAGAGGCGGAGAAGACAGCAGCACCUGAACCAGCAGCAGCAUCACCAGCUGCAGCAAAGCCAGCACUUUCCUUACUCAAAUUUUCCUGCUGUUCUUUGUCAACUCUUCAAACUGGUAAAGGAUGUGAAACCAGGUGACAUCGGUAACAAGCGUGGCAUGUGGGAAACAAAGAAGGGCUCUGCGCCUGCCAAGUCUACCUAAUAGACAGGUGGAAGAGGUGGCAGUUGGAGGCAAGAGCAAGUUUGUCACUAAUACAGGUGUGAGACCCUAACCAUUGACAUCCCCAUUUAAAUCAAGCCUUACCUGACCAAACACAAGGCUUUGCUACUGUAUGUGCAUCAAUUUCCCUUCAGCGUAACCUGUAUUUCAUAUGAAGUUCACACCAGAGGGAGGAAAAGACGAGGGGCCAGGAUGAGUGACAUUAAAGGAUUCCAGCAUCAAAGUCUUCCAGCUGUAUCUUUAUGAGUAACUUUGGCACUAUCUCCAAAUCCCCAAAUAUGUCAUACCUAGUAAGGAUUUUCAGGACAAAGUACCACAUGUUAAAUGCUUAAUAGAUAAUGUAUUGUGUAGUAUCCAUCUGUUUAAUCAAAUCCUUACAAAUUUCAGAUGGCUGUCUGGAUGCUUAAAUGUUAUAUUGCUUUCAAGCCACUCUGACAUGUCUGCUCUUCGUGUGAUUGUCAUAUAGCUUGUACCCAAUAAUAAGCAUUUGUGUUUUAUUGACAUACACACUCACUGCUUUUUGGGAUGAUAGUCACUAUUUUGACUCCAUGUGAUAAACAAGGCUGUUCAAUGUCCAUCUCACAGCUCGCAUUUUAAUUGUUAGAGUAUACUGCCACUGAGCUGGAUGCUGGCAACUAAUGACUUCAUUAAUGGUAAAUAAUGAGAGCCAGUUUUGGGUUACUAGCGUUGUGGCUCUAAGGAUAACAAUAUCGGUCUGCUGAUCCACCUCUUUGGUCUAGACUGAACUAUCUCAACAGCUACUGGAUGCAUUGCCAUGAAAUUUGGUACAGGCAUUCAUGGUCUCCAGAUAAUGAAUCCUAAUGACUUUGGUAAUCCCCUGACUUUUCAUCUAGCUCUACCAGCAGGUGAAAUUUUUCACUUAUCCAGUGAAACAUCUCAAAAUCUACAGGAUAGAUUAACACAAAACUUUGUACACACAUUCAUGUCCCCCUCAGGAUGAAUUCAGUGUCCAAUACUUUAGUUUAUGACCAAAUACCUGCAAAAAUAACAUUCCCAUCAGCCUCAGCUGCACUUUGUGUUUAGUGCUAAUUAGCAAAUGUUAGCUUGCUAACAAACUGAAGAUGGUAAACAUGGUAAACAGUAUACCAUUUAAACAUCAACAUGUUAACAUUGUCAGUGUGAGUAUGUUAGCAUGCCGACGUUAGCAUUUAGCUUUGCAGGGCAUCCAAGAAAUAUCAAUGACUUAUUAGCAUUUAUAACUGCAGACUUAGAAAAUGAGAACCAUUAGUUACAGUCUAUAAACCCCUUAUAAGUUUAAAAAUCACAUUACUAUGUAAUAUAAGCAUCAACAAAGUCUAUGAAUAUAUGUAAGCGAGUAUCCACUGUAACAACUUUUCUGUGACCAAAUCCAAAACUAUUUAACAAACAGGUAGCAGUCUUGCUUAUCUAUCAUCAGUUUACAUGCCACUAAUUUUGCAGUUUAUUUGUAUUGCAGCAGCGAUAAAGGUUUAAAAUAUAAUGGCAACAUGCACUCUGUUUUAACAAUGCCUGUAAUUAACUUUAAAUUGUACCCUGGUGUUCCUGUCAGUCAGCAGUGCACAUGAGUUGAAUCCUGCCCAAAUGUGAGUCUUUCAGUAUUGUUGUAGUAGAUUGCUUUGUUUGAAUGUUUGAAAUUAUUGUUUGUACUUGCUUCAGCAAUAAAAACAAAAUGUGUUAUA